GAAGAACUUGUCCAGGCUCUCCCAUCUAUUCCUCCUACCUGAUUCUUGGCAGGUGUCAGGAACACUGUCUGGUGGCAUUGACCUCAUUGUUUAUUCCAAAUCCUUAAUGAGAGUCAUCUUUCUCAUCUCUCUAUUUCUCCUACCAGAUCUGACAUCUCCAUCCACCUUUCCACCGUGGCAUCAAAUCACUUUCUGCCUGUUGAUAGGACUCUUGUUUACAAUAGACACGGUGAUGUAUUUCUCCGUGCAGAAGGGUCUUCGAAGGUCAACGGCAGACUAUGAGGAACCCGAGGUGCACUGGAGCAAGGAACCUGAGAAUAAGACCAUCUCAGAGGAAAAGCAAAGCUUCAGAUCUUCAAGGGCCAACAGUGAAACACCAGAGAAUAGGUAGCUGCCUUCCCGAGAAGUGAUGCCUCAGAGUUUGAUGCUUUCCCUGUCCCAAACACUCCCUCAUUGCAAAGCAGCAGCCUGGGCUCUGGGUGGUGACUCUUUCUGUGCUUAACAACUGUUCCUAAGUAAACUUCUG
rnacentral:lncRNA from 1 species